AAGAGAAGAGAAGUACUAGUCUUCAAGGGUAAGACUCUAGUCUAAUAUAUCUUUUAUCUCUAUCAUUGUAGGGUGAUGAAAGAAGUGUGAUUGUAUGCAAAGAACAUAUAAGAAGUAAUUAAUGAAUGAACUUAAGCCGAAUAAGUUGUGAAUAAGCAACUACAACCUAAAGAAGUUGAUAAACUUAUGAUGAAUUUAUCAUAUGAUUGUCAUAUGAUGUUAGUAUGUUCAAUGUGGUAUUUGAACAUUGAGUAAAUGACUUAAGUCCAUAUUAAGUCAUAGGAAAUGAAAUUUGUAGUUUAUAAGUUGAUUAAGUCAUUAACUUAUGAGAAUAAGUCAAAACUUACUUUGAUAAUAAGUUGGUAUAAUAAGUAACUUAAAAUGUUCAUAUGAUGAUUAAAAUCCAAGUAGAAUGAGAAUCAAAUCAUUAGUAAUGAGUAUUCACCGGAAUUCACACGAUUGGACGAUAAUCGUCGAAUUCGUGAAAUUCUUGGAAUGAAAGUCAUAUUUUGUGUUUGAACUCGGAAACAUUGUUUUUCGAUGGAGACAAGUCAUAUUUGGCACUAUAGAGUUGCAGACUCGAAAAUGACCGAAUUCUGACUUAGAACGAAGAAACGAGCGUUGAACGUUCACGAACAUUUAUCGUUUUCUUUAUAAAUGAACUAAUAACUGAUAUUUUAGCAAACGAAGUCAAAUAGAUAAAAUUCUUGUAUGAACGCAUAGAGUAUGUAAUUUGUGAACCGUAAGCUCUUGAACGAGACAAUUUGGACUUCUAACGAAGAAGUUAUGCGUCCGGGAGUUUCACAAAAAUUUUAAAAUCUGUAAAUUUUCUGAGGCACAGAGUUGGCACCGCGGCGCCAACCCAAGGCCAAAAGAUGGCACCGCUGCACCGAACACAGUGUCUAAACCUACUGAACUUUCACGCCACAACGUGACAUGAAGAGCAAGGACUCGCACCGCAGCGUUGAGUCCGAUCUGUACCCACUGUUAACUCGCGCCGCAGCGCGACUUAAAGAGUAAAGGGUGGCGCCGCAGCGCCAACCCUAGGGUUUGGACAGUGAUGAAGGUUUAAAAGUAUAACAUGAACAUUAACUCAGUAAUAAUAAACUGAGGAACUUAAUAAGGUAUUGUAAGGUAUUGUUAAACCUUAUUUAUGUUGUCUAAAGGUUGAAGAUAAGUAAUCAGUUAUGAACGUAAUGAAAUAAUGUAACAAAAAGUCGGAACCAAUAAUAACAAAUCUAAGUCAGGAUUAGAUUGAGAUGAAGGGUAAGAUAUAGUAGUAUAUCUACUUGAUUAAAUAUGACCUAAUGUGGUACGUUAUAUGAUCAUGUAUUGUAGAGACUUAGAGACUUAAAGUGUACGUGUGAUACACAGUAAGCAGAUGCUAAAGGCAAGUAUUCUAACCCUUGUUUCAGUUCAGUCUGGAAAAGCUUUGAAAUUCAUGUAUCCUUUCGCAUGAAGUCUUGUAUGAAGAAGUCAAAGCUAAUUCUUUCGGCUAGACUUAUAUUAUGAUUUUAUCAAGCAUGAUUAAUGUUUACCGAGUUAUAUUGGUGUGGUUUUCAAAUGAAGACUGAGUAUGCUAAAAUGUUUUUGUCGUUUAACGAUAGGCACGUGAGGUUGCCACAACUUAAACGUAUACACGUUUAAUGAAUGUAGUGUUGAUCAACAUAGAGUACUAUAGGCUGAUCACCUAGACAUGCUCGUAAGUAAUGUCAGACUUACGGACUUAGUGACGGGAUGUCCUUUUUAAAAGAACUUAUGAAAUGCUCAAGGUCUUGGAUCGAAAUUGAUGUUUUACUGAAUAUUGUUGUUGUAAAACGUUUUGAAUGAAAAGAAUUGCUAUUUUGAAUUAUCGAUAGUACUUCGUAACUAUUGUUCAGUUAUUGAAGAUAUACGAGUUCUAUGUUUCAAGCAUGUUGUUUAUUAGAAUUGUAGUACUUGUUGAGCUAUUCAUGCUCACUCUUGCUUGAACCAUAUGAACACAGCUAAGAUCGAAAUGACCGAAGGCUCCGGUAAGGAUAAGGGCAAGGCGAAGACGAUCCCUUAUAUUACUUAUGUAAUAGUAUAGGUGAAUGUUUGUAAUAUAUUGAAUAUUAUGACAAGAACGAGUGAAUGGGUUAUAAAGAACCUGGGGAAAUGUAUUAUUAUUUUUAAUAUAUAUAAGACAUAUUCGUUCUUUUGAGACUUUUCAAUUGAAUGUAUGUGUGAAUGGUAGUACCGUGUAGCACCAUCUGUCGGGUUGGAAGAUACCCAGAUUUGGGGGCGUCACAUGUUGGUAUCAAAGCAUUAGGUUAUAAAACUUAAGGGGUGAUUAAAAACCUUAAGUCCUAACCUUAAGAGGAGACAAAGAAGUACAAGAAGAAAAUAACCUUAUAAAAAUGCAUUAUGAUUAUGUGAUGUGUUUUAAUUAUUCUACUGACGUGUACUAAUAUACUUAAUUGUUUUGUGUAGAUGUUAGGAGUAACGGAAUGUAUGUAGACUGACAGGCUAUUAGUGAAGAGUUGGUGAACCAAGAAGAGGUCAUACCGAACCCCAUAGCGGUAGAGCCUGAGAUAGUGGUUAUUGAGUCUGCAAACUCGGAGGAUGCUGACCUCAUGUCACUAUUCGAUGGUAUGAUAGAAGAGGAAGUGGAGGCAGCGUCCUUUAAUCCAGUAGCUACAGCAGCAGAGAUAUCUCCUGGGGGGUUGAUGAUGUCUCUGUUAAUGUCAGUAUUGGAUUGAAAUAUCCAUUACUGUCAGGAGGUCAAGGAGCUGAAGGCAGAGCUCUAAGCUUUCAUAGAGGACAAAAUAGAUGUGGAGUCAAUGUGGGAGAAGGAGCAUGAUGAAAGUGUUUUGGCCAAGGACAAAGUCCAUGAGCUGAAACAUGAGGUUUUUGAGCUCAAGGAGGAGCUAAAGACCAAACUGCAGAAGAUAGGGAGAAUGUCCUAUAUUCAUAGGAGUUCUCACACAGAUUUCCAGCAGCAGGUAGCUGGAUAUCCUGUAGAGGUGGGGCAGACACGGCAUACUAUUAGCCAUGAUAUCAUUGCCGGUCUUGCCAAGGCAGAUUUUGAUAAUGCCUUAAGGCAGAUGUAAGCUAGUAGUAGCUAGAAUAGUUUAAGUAUGUAAAUAUUUUGUAAUUAGAAGUGACUUAAAGCCCUCUUUUGUAUAGCGAAGGGUAGUCUUUUGUAAAUCCCAAUUUUUGGAAAGCAAUAUCGGGAAAGUAAUGUAAUCAGCUUAGGCUGUGUAAUGUAAUCGAUGUAGUAUUAUACUACAAAGAAUGAAUAUAAGCCUUUUUAUGGAAAACAAUGAGUAAUGGAUGUUGAAGUUAUUGUUUAAUAUUAAAUAAUAACUAAUAAAGAAAGGAAUAAUAACAAAAUGUGUUUAUUGUAUCAGCAAUAUGUCGCCGAGAAGAGUGCAACAUAACCCUGGAGCGAAUGUGAAUCAAACGGAGGGAGGUUCGGUUAACCUGAUGCAGGAGUUUGUUAACCUAUUAACAGUUGCCUUUAAUAGAAUAGGGGCUAAUAUCCCCGUAAAUCCAGGAGUAGCACGAGCUACUACCUUUAAGGAUUUCAAGAGCAUGGGUCCGCUGGAGUUCAAAGGAACUACGGACCCUAUCGAAGCCCAAAUGUGGGUGAAGGAAAUAGAGAAGGCAUUUAUGAUAGCAAAUGUCGACGAGGCCCAAAAGGUUUCCUUUGCAACCUAUAUGAUGAAGGGAGAGACCAACUUUUGGUGGGAAGCCAAUCAAGCUAGGGUCGGGAUAGCAAAUCUGACAUUGGAGAGGUUCAAGGAGAUAUUAUUCGAGAACUACUUUCCCACGAGCAUGCAGGGUAGGAUGGAGAUACGGUUUCUGGAGUUGAAACAAGGGGACAUGACGGUUCCCCAAUACGCCACCAAGUUUAAUGAACUGGCGAGGUUCACUCCACACCAAGUGGAUACCGAGGUUAGGAAGGCACGACGGUUCAAGCAGGGCUUGAAACCCUGGCUCUAUAACCGUAUUUCGGUGUUCCAAAGUACUUCAUUUGGAACCAUUUUAGAGAAGGUGAUAAUCACCGAGGGUGGUAGUGAGGCUUUAAGUUAAUACCACAAGGACAAGAAGAGCAAGGGGAAAGUAGAUGGGGGAGUAAAGGUUGAAGGAGCCAACGGUAGUAGCGAGGGACAAAAGAGGAAGGUGUUUAGCUCUAGGAAUACCGCAAUGAAGCCAGGAGACCCAAAGAGGAGGAUGGAGGCCUGCAAGACCUAUGGGAAGACUCACUUAGGAGUCUGUCUUAAGAGGAAGGUCGUCUGUUACAACUAUGGACAGGAAGGGAACAUUGCGCCUAACUGUUCAAGUCCAAAGAAGAAUCAUGGAUGCUUUGUGUGUGGGUCAACUAACCACAUGGCAAAGAACUGCCCAAAGAAGGGGACGGACGGGAACCGGGGUACUAAUAGCGGUAAGUUAGCUAUUAGUGGUCCAGCGCAGCCGGGUAGGCCGAUGGGUCGUACCUUUAACAUGACAGUCCAAGAUGCAAUUGCAUUAGGGGACGUCAUCGCAGGUAUUAUUCCGAUCAACGACAUAAAUGCUUAUGUGAUGUUUGAUUCGGGUGCUACUUGUUCGUUUAUAGCAUGCAAUUUUGCUAGAUGAUUAGGAUUACUUCCCAAAAAGUUGCCUAUACCUUUAAUUAUUAAGGUAGCAAAUGGAGAAAUAAUUUCUGUUGAAGAUGUUCAUAGGAGUUUUUGCGUAGAUAUACGGGGUUGUAAAUUAUUGGUAGAUUUGUUACCGAUAAAGUUAGGAGAAUUCGACGUAAUUCUCGGAAUUGAUUGGUUAGUUAACCAUUAGGAAAUUAUAGAUUGUCAAAAGAAAUGUGUGAACAUUAAAACGUUAAGACAACCUCAGGUUGUAUUUUACGGGAAUAGAUCGUCGAGACAUUCGUGUUUUCUAACCAUGACACAAACUAGGAAAUUACUAAAGAAGGGAUGUGUAGGUUAUCUGUCAUGUUGUUGAUACCCAGAGAGUGGUAGAAACCAUGGAACAAAUACCUAUAGUGAGAGAAUUUACCGAUGUAUUUCCGAGUGAAUUGCUGGGUCUUCCACUGGAUAGAGAGACGGUGUUUGUAAUAGACAUCGUACCAGGAGCGGCACCAGUUUUUAGGGCACUGUAUCAUAUGGCGCCAGUGGAGAUGAAGGAGUUGAUGGUACAAUUACAAGAACUGUUGGACAGAAAGUACAUUCAACCGAGUGUUUCACCGUGGGGAGCACCGGUACUGUUUGUCAAGAAGAAGGACGUAUCGUUAAGACUUUGUAUCGACUACCAAGAGUUGAACAAGUUAAUGAUAAAUAAUAAAUACCCAUUGCCCAGGAUCGAUAAUCUCUUUGAUCAGUUGAAAGGGGCUAAGUAUUUUUCUAAACUAGAUUUAAGAAUGGGGUAUCACCAGUUGAAGGUUAGGAAGGAUGAUGUACCAAAGAUAGCAUUCAGGACUCGUUAUGGUCAUUACGAGUUUUUGGUGAUGUCAUUUGGGUUGAUAAAUGCACCAGCUGCAUUUAUGGAUAUGAUGAACAGAGUGUUCAAACAAUAUUUGGACAUGUUCGUUAUGGUGUUUAUUGAUGAUAUUCUAUUCUAUUCUAAGACGCUAGAAGAUCAUGCUAAACACCUAAGAUUAGUUUUGGAGACACUAAGAAAGGAGAAGUUGUAUAAGAAAUUCACUAAAUGUGAAUUUUGGUUGGAGAAGUUAUAAUUUUUAGGUCAUGUCAUUGACCAUGAGGGAAUUUAAGUAGAUCCAGCGAAGGUGAAAGCCGUGAUGAAUUGGGAACAACCGAAGACCCCGACAGAGGUGCGGAGUUUCCUAGGGUUAGCUGGUUACUAUCGGAGACUCAUCCAUGAUUUUUCAAAUAUAGCUACUCCGUUGACUAAUUUAACAAGGAAGACGGUGAAAUACGCUUGGACUGAUAAGUGUGAGGACAGUUUUCAAGAACUAAAGAAGAGGUUGAGUGAAGCACCUGUUUUGUCAUUACCUGAUGACACAUGAAAUUUUUUAGUUUAUAGCGAUGCUUCGCAUAGAGGACUUGGUUCCGUGCUCAUGCAGCAUGGCAAGGUCAUUGCGUAUGCAUCUAGGCAGUUGAAGGAUUAUGAGAAAGUUUAUCCUACUCAUGAUCUGGAACUGGCCGCAGUAGUUUUUGCUCUAAAGAUAUGGAGACAUUAUCUUUAUGGAAAAAAUGUGAGCUAUACACGGACCACAAGAGUCUAAAAUAUAUCUUCACACAAAAGGAGUUGAACAUGAGGAAGAGAAGAUGGCUGGAGUUGAUAAAGGAUUACGAUUGUGAAAUUCCUGUAUCACCCUGGAAAAGCCAAUGUAGUUGCCGACGCCUUAAGUAGGAAGGGUCGGGAAAAGUUGUCUUUGUUAACGGCUCAAACUGAGUUAAUAAUAGAGAUAACUAAGAUGGAAUUGGAAGUGAAGCUGCCAAGUAAAGUAGGACAAAUGUUGUUUACGACAGAGAUGCAAUCUACCAUCGUAGAGAGGAUUAAGAAGGUAUAACUAAAAAUUGAUGAGUGUGACCAGAUGAAGGAGCGGCUGGCCAAUGAAAAAGAUAUUAAGUAUAGUCUUGAUAAUGAGGGAUUAUUAAGAUUUGAAGGAAGAAUUUGGGUUCUGAAUGAGACAGAAUUAAAGGAGUAUGUAUUAUAAGAGGCUCAUAGUUCGAGGUCUUUGAUUUAUCCUGGGAGUACUAAGAUGUAUUAAGACCUUCAACAGAGUUUUUGGUGGCCGAACAUGAAGAGAGAUAUAACAGAGUACGUGAGUAGGUGCUUGACUUGCCAGAAACUCAAGGCCGAACAUCAACGACCAAGUGGCUUGUUACAGUCAUUGGAAAUUCCGGAGUGGAAGUGGGAAAAUAUCACGAUGGAUUUUGCGGUGGGACUUCUGUAACGCCCUAGAAAAUUGAACCUUUGUAAAUACUUUUAAUAAUGAAUAAAAUAAUAUUAUUUAUUAUUAUUGCGUGUUGAUAAGAUGAAUGUUGUUCUAUAACCUAGAAAAGUCGGAACGUCGUGGUAUUUUAACUACGUGAAUGAAUUAAAGUUUUUGAAUUUCUAAGACAAAAAUAAAUGCUUUCCGAGAAAUUUCCCGAAAAACACUAUUCAUCGAUUUCUGCUCGGAAAUUAUUUUUGAACUUCCGAGAAAUACGUAACGUUAUAAUAUUAAGGUGAUAUUGAUUAUGUAAUAAUAAUCUAUGUAUGGAAAACGUAAUAUUUCGCAGGCGGACCUAAUUUGGGAACGUUAGGUUUAUUAAGCGUUAAGGAAAAGAAGUUGUAAUUGUAUGAUGUGUAUGCAUUAUACGAGGUAAUGAACGUAAGUAUAAUAUGACGUAUUAUACUAUUAAUAAUGGAGAAUGAAAUAACGUAUAUUACGAAUUAAUAUACGAGCUAGCAUACGAGAAUUAUACGUGGUGUAUAUAUGUUAAGUUGUUAAUUAAUUGUAUUGGACUUGUAGGAUUAUUAUCUUAAUGAUAGAAGUGCAAUAGAAUGUGAUACUCAAGCCCAAGUGUUUGAUAAGUCAUGAGUCCAUACUAUUGUGGUAUAAGCCUAAUAAGGAAUUAGCUAGAUUAAUUAGCAAGUCCAAUGAAUAAACCAUGGUCCAUGGGGAAAACCAAGUGAGAAAUGAGUAGACUUGAUGAGCAAACAUAUUGUGUGGUGACCAAGUGUUGUGCUAGACAAGAAAGAAAUAGUAAGGAGGUGGAAGUAAGGAGGUGGGAUUAAGGAGGUUUAAAUAAGGAGGUGGGAUGGCCUAAAGUCUAUUAUGCCCUCACUUUGAGUUGCCUAUAAAUAGAAGGCUUGAUUUUUCAUUUGUUGGUUGUUUCAUUUCAUCCAACUCCUUUCAAGAUUAAGUAACUUAUUGGUUAGAGAGAAUAUGCACAUAAGUCAAGAAUAAGUCACUUCAACCUUUGCUAGAUUUUCCAAAGUGAAGUGAAGUAAUAGUCUUCAAGGGUAAGACUCAUGUCUAUUAUCUUUAUCUCUUCUAUGAUAGGAUUGGUAGAGAAGUGGGAUUGUAUGAUAAUAGCAUAUAAUAAGUUAUUAAUGAAUGAACUUAAGCCGAAUAAGUUGAAUAAGCAACUUGAACCUAAUAAGUUGAUAAACUUGUGAAGAACUUGUCAUAUGUUUGUCAUAUGAUGUUAGUAUGUUCAAAUAUAGUAUGAGAACAUUGAUUGAUGGACUUAAGUUCAUAGUAAGUCAUAAGCAUGAGAAAUUGUAGUUCAUAAGUUAAAUAAGUCAUUGACUUAUGAGAAUAAGUCAAAACCUACUUUGAGAAUAAGUUGGUGUAAUAAGUAACUUAUAAUGUUCAUAUGUUGGUUAAAAUUCAUUUAGAAUCAUUAGGAAUGAAGUUUUGCUGGAAUUCACACGAUUGGACGAUUAACGUCGAAUUCGUGAAAUUCUCGGAAUGGAAGUCGUUUUUUGUGUUUGAAGUCAAAAAUGUUGGUUUUCGAUGGAGACAAGUCAUAUUUGGCAUUAUAGAGUUGCGGACUCGAAAAUGACCGAAUUCCGACUUAGAACGAAGAAAUGAGCGUUGAACGUUCAUUGACGUUUAUCGUUUUCGUUAAAAAUGAACUAAUAGGUGAAAUUUUAGCAAACAAAAUCAAAUAGAUAAAAUUCUUGCAUGAACGCCUAGAGAAUGUAAUUUGUGAACCGUAGGCUUUUGAACGAGCCAAUUAGGACUUCUAACGAAGAAGUUAUGCGUCAGGGAGUUUCGCUAAAUUUGCAAAAGCUGCAAAUUUUCUAAGGCACAAAGUUGGCGCCGCGGUGCCAACCCAAGGCCAAAUGAGUGGCACUGCAGUGCCAGUACAGUGUCUGAGUACACUGCUAGCUCACGCCACAGCGCGACCUAUAGAGUAAGAACUCGCGCCGCAGCGCCGAGUCCGGGACUUGCUUACUGUUAACUCGCGCCGCAACGCGGCUUGAAGAGUAAUGGGUGGAGCCGCAGCGCCAGCCCUAGGAAGUGGACAAUAAAGAAUGGUUAUGAGUACAACUUGAACAUUAGCUUAGUAUUAAUAAACUGAGGAACUUAAUAAGAUAUUGUAAGGUAAUUUUAAACCAUAUAAAUGAUGAUUAAGAGUUAAUAAUCAAUUGAAUUUGAACGCAAUGUGAACGACGUAAUGAAAAGCCAAAACCAAUAUUAACAGAUCUAAAUCAGGAUUUAUAUUGAGAUGAAGGGUAAGAUAUAGUAGUGUACAUCCUUGAUUAUAUAUGACCUAAUGUGGUACGUUAUAUGAUCAUGUAUUGUAGAAACUUAGAGACCUAAAGUGUACGUGUGAUAAUCAGUAAGCAGACACUGAAGGCAAGUAUUCUAACCCUUGUUUCAGUUCAGUUUGAAUAAGCUUUGUAAUUCAUGUAUUCUUUCGCAUGAAGUCUUGAAUGAUGAAGUCUAAGUCAAUUCUUUUGGCUAGACUUAUAUUAUGAUUCUGUCAAGCAUGAUUAAUGUUUACCGAGUUAUAUUGGUAUGGUUUUCAAUCAAAGACCGAGUAUGCUAAAAAUGUUUUUGUCGUUUACAGACAGGCACGUGAGGUUGCCAGAACUUAAAUGUAUACACGUUUAAUGAAUGUAGUGUUGAUCAACAUAGAGUACUAUGAGCUGAUCACCCAGAAAUGCUCGUAAGAUAUGCCGGACUUAUGGACUUAGUGCCAGGUUGUCCUUUUCAAAAGAAAUUAUGAACUGCUCAUAGUCUUGAGCCAUAAUUGAUAUUCUACUGAAUAUUGUUAUUGUAAAAUGUUUUGAAUGAAAAGAAGUGAUAUUUUGGAUUAUCGAUAGUACUUCGUAACUAUUGUUCAGUUAUUGAAGAUAUAUGAUUUAUAUGUUUCAAGCAUGUUGUUUAUUAGAAUUAUGGUACUUGCUGAGCUAGUCAUGCUCACUCUUGCUUGAACCAUAUGAACACAUCUAAGAUCGAUUAGACCGUUGGCUCAGGCAAGGACAAGGGCAAGGCGAGGACAAACCCUUAGAUUACUUAUGUAAUAGAAUAGUUGAAUUUCUAUAAUAUAUUGAAUAUUAUGACAAGAACGAACGAAUGGGUUAUAAAGGACCUGGGAAAUGUAAUAUUAUUUUGAAUAUAUAGAAGAUAUAUUAGUUCUUUUGAGACUUUUCAAUUGAAUGAAUGUAUGAAUGGUAGUACCGUGUAGCACCAUCUGUUGGGUUAAAGAUACCCUGAUUUGUGGGCGUCACAGGUUGGUAUCAAAGCAUUAGGUUAUAAAACUUAAGGGGGGAGUUAAAAACCUUAAGUCAUAACCUUAAGAGAAGUUAAGGAAGUACAAGAAGAAAAUAACCUUAUAAAAAUUCAUUAUGAUUAUGUUAUGUGUUUUUAUUAUUCUACUGACAUGUACUAAUCAACUUAAUUAUUUUGUGUAGAUGUUAGGAGUAAACAGAAUCUUUGUAAAUGGUCAAACCAUUAGCGAAGAGUUGAUGAAUCAAGUAGAGGUUAUACCGAACCCUAUAGCAGCAGAUUCGGAAGUGGUAGUUAUUUAGUCUGGAGACUCGGAUGAAGCUGACUACAUGUCAGUAUUCAACGAAAUGAUAGAGGAGGAAGUAGAGACAAUGUCCUUUAAUCCGGUGGCUAUAACAGCGGAUAUAGCUCCUGGGGGGUCGAUGAUGUCUCUGUUUAUGUUAGUGUUGGAUAGAAAUAUCCAUUACUGUCAGGAGGUUAAGGAGCUGAAGGCAGAGCUCGAAAUGGUUAUAGAGGACAAGACUGAUGUCGAGUCCAUGUGGGAGCAGGAGCAUGAUGAGAGGAUUUUGGCUAAGGACAAAGUCCACGAGUUAAAGCAUGAGGUCUUGGAGCUCAAGGAGGAGCUAAAGACCAAGGUGCAGAAGAUAGGGAGAAUGUCCUAUAUCUAUAGGAGUUCUCAUACAGAUUUCUAGCAGCAGUUAGCUGGAUAUCCUGUAGAGGUGGGGCAAACACGGCAUACUAUUAGCCAUGAUAUCAUUGCCGGUCUUGCCAAGGUAGAUUUCGAGAAUGCCUUAAGGCAGAUGUAGAUUAGUGGUAGUUAGAGUAGUAUGUAUAUAUAUAUAUAUAUAUAUAUAUUUAGUAGUGACGUAAAGCCCUCUUUGUAUAAUGAAGGGUAGUCUUUUGUAAAUCCCAAUCUUUGGAAAGUGAUAGCGGGAAAGUAAUGUGACCAGCUUAGGCUGUUUAUGUAAUCGAUGUAGUAUUAUACUACGAAGAAUGAAUAUAAGUCCUUUUUAUGGAAAACAAUGAGUUAUGGAUGUUGGAGUUAUUGUUUAAUAUUAAAUAAUAACUAAUAAAGAAAGGAAUAAUAACGAAAUGUGUUUAUUGUAUCAGUAAAAUGCCGCCGAGAAGAGUGCAACGUAAUCAAGAUGAUAAUGUGAAUCAACUGGAGGGAGGUCUAGUUAACCCAAUGCAGGAGUUUGUUAAUUUAUUAACAGCUGCUUUUAAUAGAACAUGGGCUAAUAUCCCCGUAAAUCCAGGAGUAGCACGAGCUACUACCUUUAAAGAUUUCAAGAGUGUGGGUCCGCCGAAGUUCAAAGGAACUACGGACCAUAUUGAAGCCCAAAUGUGGGUUAAGGAAUAGAGAAGGAAAUUGUGAUAGCAAAUGUCGACGAGGCCCAAAAGGUUGCCUUUGCAACCUAUAUGAUGAAAGGAAAGGCUAACUUUUGGUGGGAAGCUAAUGAGGCUAGGGUUGGGAUAGCGAUUCUGACGUGGGAUAGGUUCAAGGAGAUAUUCUUUGAGAACUACUUUCGCACGAGCAUGCAAGGAAGGAUGGAGAUGCGGUUUCUGGAGUUGAAACAAGGGGACAUGACAGUUCCCCAAUACGCCGCCAAGUUUAAUGAACUGGCGAGGUUCGCUCCACAUCAAGUGGAUACCGAGGUGAGGAAGGCACGACGGUUCGAGUAGGGCUUGAAACCCUGGCUCUAUAACCGUAUUUCAGUGUUCCAAAGUACUUCUUUUGGAACCAUUUUAGAGAAGGUGAUAAUCGCCGAGGGUGGUAGUGAGGCUCUGAGUCAAUACCACAAGGACAAAAAGAGCAAGGGGAAAGUAGAUGGGGGAGUAAAGAUUGAGGGAGCCAGUGGUAGUGGCGAGGGUCAGAUGAGGAAAGUAUUUAGCUUUGGGAAUAUCAGAGUGAAGCAAGGAGACCUGAAGAGGAGAAUAGAGGCCUGCAAGACCUGUGGGAAGACUCACUUAGGAGUCUGUCUCAAGGGGAAGGCCGUCUGUUACAACUGUGGAUAGGAGGGGCACAUUGCACCUAAUUGUCCGAGUCCAAAGAAGAAUCACAAAUGCUUUGUGCGUGGGUCAACUAACCACAUGGCAAAGAACUGCUCGAAGAAGGGGACGGACGGGAACAUGGGCACUAAUAGCGGUAAGUUAGUUAUUAGUGGUCCAGCACAGCCGAGUAGGACGAUGGGUCGUACCUUUAACAUGACAGUCCAAGUUGCAGUCGCAUCAGGGGAUGUUGUCGCAGGUAUUAUUCCGAUCAAUGACAUAAAUGCUUACGUGUUGUUUGAUUUGGGUGCUACUUGUUCAUUUAUAGCAUGCGAUUUUGCUAGACGAUUAGGAUUACUUCCCGAAAAGUUGUCUAUACCUUUAAAUAUUAAGGUAGCAGAUAAAGAAAUAAUUCCUGUUGAAGAUGUUCAUAGAAGUUGUUGCGUAGAUAUACAGGGUUAUAAAUUAUCGGUAGCUUGGUUACCGAUAAAGUUAAGAGAAUUCGACGUAAUUCUCGGAAUGGAUUCGUUAGUGAACCAUGGGGCAAUUUUAGAUUGUCAAAAGAAAUGUGUGAAUAUUAAGACGUUAAAACAACCUCAGGUAAUAUUUUACGGGAAUAGAUCACCGGGACGUUCGUGUUGUCUAACCAUGAUACAAAUUAGGAAAUUAUUGAGGAAGGGAUGUGUAGGCUACUUGUAUCAUGUUGUUGAUACCCAGUGAGUGGUAGCAACAAUGGAACAAAUACCUAUAGUGAGAGAAUUCGCCGAUGUAUUUCUGAGUGAAUUAUCGGGUCUUUCGCCGGAUAGGGAGACAGAGUUUAUGAUUAACAUCGUGCCAUGAGCGACACCAGUUUCCAGGGCACCGUGUCGUAUGGCGCCAGUGGAGAUGAAGGAGUUGAUGGUGCAGUUGUAAGAACUGUUGGACCAGAAGUACAUUCAGUCGAGUGUUUCACCAUGGGGAGCACAAGUACUGUUUGUCAAGAAGAAGGACGGAUUGUUAAGACUAUGUAUCGACUACCGAGAGUUGAACAAGUUAACGAUAAAGAAUAAAUACCCAUUGCCCAGGAUCGAUGAUCUCUUUGAUUAAUUGAAAGGGGCUAAGUAUUUUUCUAAGAUAGAUUUAAGAACGGGGUAUCAUUAGUUGAAGGUUAGGAAGGAGGAUGUACCAAAGAUAACAUUCAGGACUCGUUAUGGUCAUUACGAGUUUCUAGUGAUGUCGUUUGGGUUGACAAAUGCACCAGCUGCAUUUAUGGAUAUGAUGAACAGAGUGUUCAAACAAUAUUUGGACAAGUUCGUCGUGGGGUCUAUAGAUGAUAUUCUAGUCUAUUCUAAGACGCCAGAAGAUCAUGCUGAACACCUAAGAUUAGUGUUGGAGACACUAAGAAAGGAGAAGUUGUAUGCAAAAUUCGCUAAGUGUGAAUUUUGGUUGGAAAAAGUACAAUUUUUAGGUCAUGUCAUUGACCAUGAGGGAAUUUCAGUAGAUCCAGCGAAGGUGGAAGCCGUGAUGAAUUGGGAACAACCGAAAAUGCCGACUAAGGUGCGGAGUUUCCUAGGGUUAGCGGGUUACUAUCGGAGAUUCAUCCAGGAUUUUUCGAAGAUAGCUACUCCGUUAACUAACUUGACGAGGAAGAUGGUGAAAUACGCUUGGACUGACAAGUGUGAGGAUAGUUUUCAAGAACGAAAAAGAGGUUGAGUGAAGCACCUAUUUUGUCAUUACCCGAUGACACAGGAAAUUUUAUAAUUUAUAGCGAUGCUUCGCAUAGAGGACUUGGUUGCAUGCUCAUACAACAUGGCAAGGUCAUUGCGUAUACAUCUAGGCAGUUGAAGGAUUAUGAGAAAGUUUAUCCUACUCAUGAUCUGGAACUGGCUGCAAUAGUUUUUGCUUUAAAGAUAUAGAGACAUUAACUUUAUGGAAAAAAAUGUGAGAUAUAUACAGACCACAAGAGUCUAAAAUAUAUCUUCACACAGAAGGAGUUGAAUAUUAGGCAGAGGAGAUGGUUGAAGUUGAUAAAGGAUUACGAUUGUGAAAUCCUGUAUCACCCGGGAAAAGCCAAUGUAGUUGCCGACGCCUUAAAUAGGAAGGGUCAUGAAAAGUUGUCUUUGUUAACGGCUCAAGCUGAGUUAAUAACAGAGAUGGCUAGGAUGGAGUUGGAAGUGAAGCUGCCAAGUGAAGGAGGACAAAUUCUGUUUGCGACGGAGAUGCAAUCUACCAUCGCAGAAAGAGUUAAGGAGUUACAACUCAAAACUGAUGAGUGUGACCUGAUGAAAGAGCGACUGGCCAAUGAAAAAGAUAGUAAGUAUAGUCUUGAUAAUGAGGGAUUAUUGAGGUUUGAAGGAAGAAUUUGGGCUCCGAGUGAGACGGAAUUAAAGGAGCAGGUAUUGCAAGAGGCUCAUAGUUCGAGGUUUUCGAUUCAUCCUGGUAGCACUAAGAUGUAUCAAGACCUUCGACAGAGUUUUUGGUGGCCGAACAUGAAGAGAGAGAUAGUAGAGUAUGUGAGUAGGUGCUUAACUUGCCAGAAAGUUAAGGCCGAACGUCAACGACCAAGUGGCUUGUUACAGUCAUUGGAAAUCCUAGAGUGGAAGUGGGAAAAUAUCACAAAGGAUUUUGUGGUAGGACUUCUGACUACAACAAAGGGGUAUGAUGCGAUCUGGGUAAUAGUAGACCGAUUGACAAAGUCGGCUCACUUUUUGCCAAUUAGGGUCAAGUAUAACUUAGACCAGUUAGCAAGACUCUAUAUUAAGGAAAUAAUCUCCAGACAUGGAGUACCAGUAUCGAUUGUGUCAGAUCGUGAUCCACGAUUCACGUCGACCUUUUGGAGGAGUCUACAAGAGCAGUUGGGAAUGCAGUUGAAGCUGAGUAUGGUGUAUCAUCCACAAACGGAUGGACAGAGCGAGAGAACAAUUCAGACGUUAGAAGAUAUGAUAAGAUCUUGCGUCAUGGAUUUCAAGGGUAGUUGGGAUGAUCAUCUACCAUUAGUGGAAUUUGCGUAUAAUAAUAGUUAUCAUGCAAGCAUAUGUAUGCCACCUUACGAAGCUUUGUAUAGGAGGAAAUGCAGAACGCCACUGUAUUGGGAUGAGGUAGGAGAACGCUUAAUAUUGGGACUAGAAUUGGUGCAACAGACAACAGACAUUGUCAAGGUAAUACAAAUGCGUCUUCUAGCAGCUCAAGACAGACAGAAGAAGUUUACGGAUUCGCAUAGAGAGAAUCGAGAGUUUGAGGUAGGUUAGUACGUAUUUCUAAAAGUAUCUCCUUGGAAAGGAAAGAUACGUUUUGGGAAGAAGGGAAAGUUAAGUCCGAGGUUCAUAGGACCUUUUGAGAUCUUAAAACGGGUGGGUGAGGUAACUUAUAUGAUAGCAUUACCUCCAGACCUAGAACGAAUACAUAAUGUAUUUCACGUAUCUGUGUUAUGUCCUUAUAAGCCAGAUUAUAAGGACGUGAUAGAAUAUGAACCUAUUCAUAUCGAGAAGGACUUAACGUAUGAAGAAACGCCGAUUUAAAUUGUCGAUAGAAAAGAACAAGUUCUGCGGAUUAAAGUCAUACCUUCCGUGAAGGUAAUAUGGAAGAACCACGAUGUAGAAGAAGCAACAUGGGAGUUAUAAGAAAUGAUGAAAAAGAAUUACCCUCACUUAUUUGUGUUAUUUUUUUUUUAUUUUUUUAGCAAGAUUCUGGGGACAGAAUCCUUAUAAGGGGUAGAGAGUGUAACGCCCCAGAAAAUUUAACCUUUGUAAAUACUUUUAAUAAUGAAUAAAAUAAUAUUAUUUAUUAUUAUUGCGUGUUGAUAAGAUGAAUGUCAUUCUAUAACCUAGAAACUUCGGAACGUCGUAGUAUUUUAACUAUGUGAAUGAAUUAAAGUGUUUGAAUUUCUAAGAUGAAAAUAAAAGCUUUCGGAGAAAUUUUUCGAAAAACAAUAUUCAUCGAUUUCUGCUCAUGAAUUAUUUUUGAACUUACGAGAAAUACGUAACGUUAUAAUAUUAAGGUGAUAUUGAUUAUGUAAUAAUAAUCUAAGUAUGGAAAACGUAAUAUUUUGCAUGCGGACCUAAUUUGGGAACGUUAGGUUUAUUAAGCAUUAAGGAAAAGAAGUUGUAAUUGUAUGAUGUGUAUGCAUUGUACGAGGUAAUGAACGUAAGUAUAAUACGUAGUAUUAUAGUAUUAAGAAUGGAGAAUGAAAUAACGUAUAUUAUGAAUUAAUAUACUCGCUGGCAUACGAGAAUUAUACGUGCUGUAUAUAUGUUAAGUUGUUAAUUAAUUGUAUAGGACUUGUAGGAUUAUUAGCUUAAUGGUGGUGUAAUAAGUAACUUAUGAGAAUAAGUGAAAACCUACUUUGAGAAUAAGUUGGUGUAAUAAGUAACUUAUAAUGUUCAUAUGUUGGUUAAAAUUCAUUUAGAAUCAGUAGGAAUGAAGUUUUGCCGGAAUACACACGAUUGGACGAUUAUAGUCGAAUUCGUGAAAUUCUCAGAAUGGAAGUCGUAUUUUGUGUUUGAAGUUGGAAACGUUGGUUUUCUAUGGAGACAAGUCAUAUUUGGCAUUAUAGAGUUGUAGACUCGAAAAUGACCGAAUUCCGACUUAGAACGAAGAAACGAGCGUUGAGCAUUCACGGAAGUUUAUCGUUUUCGUUAUAAAUGAACUAAUAGGUGAAAUUUUAGCAAACGAAGUCAAAUAUAUAAAAUUCUUAUAUGAAUGCCUAGAGUAUGUAAUCUGUGAACCUUAGGCUUUUGAACGAGCCAAUUCGGACUUAUAACGAAGAAUUUAUGCGUCCAGGAGUUUUGCCAAAUUUGUAAAAGUUGCAAAUUUUCUAAGGCACAGAGUUGGCGCUGCGACGCCAACCCAAGGCCAAAUGAGUGGCGCCGCAGUGCCAGCACAGUGUCUAAGCACACUGCUAACUCGCGCAGCAGCGCGACCUAUAGAGUAAGGACUCGCGCCGCAACGCUGAGUCCGGGAUUUGCCUACUGUUAACUCGCGUCGCAGCGCGGCUUGAAGAGUAAUGGGUGGUGCCGCAGUACCAACCCUAGGAAGUGGACAGUAAAGAAUGGUUAUGAGUACAACUUGAAUAGUAACUUAGUAUUAAUAAACUGACGAACUUAAUAAGAUAUUGUAAGGUACUUUUAAACCUUAUGAAUGAUGAUUAAGAGUUAAUAAUCAAUUGAAUUUAAACGCAAUUGGAACGACGUAAUGAAAAGCCGGAACCAAUAUUAACAGAUCUAAAUCAGGAUUUAGAUUGAGAUGAAGGGUAAGAUAUAGUAGUGUACAUCCUUGAUUAUAUAUGACCCAAUGUGGUACCUUAUAUGAUCAUGUAUUGUAGAAACUUAGAGACCUAAAGUGUACGUGUGAUAAUCAGUAAGCAGACGCUGAAGGCAAGUAUUCUAACCCUUGUUUUAGUUCAGUCUGAACAAGCUUUGUAAUUCAUGUAUUCUUUCGCAUGAAGUCUUGAAUGAUGAAGUCUAAGUCAAUUCUUUCGGCUAGACUUAUAUUAUGAUUCUGUCAAGCAUGGUUAAUGUUUACCGAGUUAUAUUCGUAUAUUUUUCAAUCGAAGACCGAGUAUGCUAAAAAUGUUUUUGUCAUUUAACGACAUGCACGUGAGGUUGCCACAACUUAAACGUAUACAUGUUUAAUGAAUGUAGUGUUGAUUAACAUAGAGUACUAUGGGUUGAUCACCCAGAAGUGCUCGUAAGAUAUGUCGGACUUACGGACUUAGUGUCGGGUUGUCCGUUUCAAAAGAAAUUAUGAACUGCUCAUAGUCUUAAGCCAUAAUUGAUAUUCUACUAAAUAUUGUUGUUGUAAAAUGUUUUGAAUGAAAAGAAGUGCUAUUUUAGAUUAUCGAUAGUACUUCGUAACUAUUGUUCAGUUACUGAAGAUAUAUGAUUUAUAUGUUUCAAGCAUGCUGUUUAUUAGAAUUAUGGUACUUGCUGAGCUAGUCAUGCUCACUCUUGCUUGAACCAUAUGAACACAACUAAGAUCGAGUGGACCGAAGACUCAGGCAAGGACAAGGGCAAGGUGAGGACAAACCCUUAGAUUACUUAUGUAAUAGAAUAGUUGAAUGUCUGUAAUAUAUUGAAUAUUAUGACAAGAACGAACGAAUGGGUUAUAAAGAACUUGGGAAAUGUAAUAUUAUUUUUAAUAUAUAGAAGAUAUAUUAGUUCUUUUGAGACUUUUCAAUCAAAUGAAUGUAUGAAUGGUAGUACCGUGUAGCACCAUCUGUCGGGUUGGAAGAUACCCGGAUUUGGGGGCGUCACAACUUCCGACUACCACGAAGGGGUAUGAUGCGAUUUGGGUAAUAGUGGACCUGUUGACAAAGUCGGCUCACUUUUUGCCAAUUAGGGUUAAGUAUAACUUAGACCAGUUAGCUAGACUCUAUAUUAAGGAAAUAAUUUCCAGACAUGGUGUACCAGUAUCGAUUGUGUUAGAUCGUGAUCCACGAUUCACGUCGAACUUUUAGAGGAGACUACAAGAGCAGUUGGGAAUGCAGUUGAAGCUAAGUACGGCGUAUCAUCCACAAACUGAUGGACAUAGCGAGAGAACAAUUUAGACGUUAAAAGAUAUGCUAGGAUAUUGAAUCAUGGAUUUCAAGGGUAGUUGGGAUGAUCAUUUACCAUUAGUGGAGUUUUCAUAUAACAAUAGUUAUCAUGGAAGCAUAGGUAUGCCGCCUUACGAAGCUUUGUAUGGGAGGAAAUGCAGAACACCACUGUAUUGGGAUGAGGUAGGAGAACGCCGACUGCUAGGACCAGAAUUGGUGCAGCAAACAUUGGAUAUUGUCAAGAUAAUACAAAUGUGUCUUCUAGCAGCUCAAGACAGACAAAAGAAGUUUACAGAUUCGCAUAGAGAGAAUAGAGAUUUUGAAGUAAGUUCGUACGUAUUUCUAAAAGUAUCUCCCUGGAAAGGAAAGAUACAUUUUGGAAAGAAGGGAAAGUUAAGUCCGAGGUUCAUAGGACCUUUUGAGGUAUUAAAACGGGUGGGUGAGGUAGCUUAUAUGAUAUCAUUACCUCCAGACCUAGAACGAAUACAUAAUGUGUUUCACAUAUCUGUGUUACGUCCUUAUAUGCCAGAUUAUAAACACGUCAUAGAAUAUGAGCCUAUUUAUAUCGAGAAGGACUUAACGUAUGAAGAAACACCGAUUCAAAUUGUCGAUAGGAAAGAACAAGUUUUUCGGAAUAAAGUCAUACCUUCCGUGAAGGUGAUAUGGAAGAACCACGUUGCAGAAGAAGCAACGUGGGAGUUGGAAGAAAUGAUGAAAAAGAAUUACCCUCAUUUGUUUGUGUAAUUUUUUUUUAUAUAUAGCGAGAUUCUAGGGACAGAAUCCUUAUAAAGGGGAGAGAGUGUAACGCCCUAGAAAAUCGAACCUUUUGUAAAUACUUUUAAUAAUGAAUAAAAUAAUAUUAUUUAUUAUUAUUAAGUGUUGAUAAGAUGAAUGUCGUUCUAUAACCUAGAAACGUCAGAACGUCAUAGUAUUUUAACUACGUGAAUGAAUUAAAGUGUUUGAAUUUCUUAGACGAAAAUAAAAACUUUCCGAGAAAUUUUUCUUAAAAUACUAUUCAUCAAUUUCUGCUCGGGAAUUAUUUUUGAACUUCCGAGAAAUACGUAACGUUAUAAUAUCAAGGUGAGAUUGAUUAUGUAAUAAUAAUCUAAGUAUAGAAAACGCAAUAUUUCGCAUGCGAACUUAAAGAACGUUAGGAAUAUUAAGCGUUAAGAAGAGAAAGUAUUAAUCAUAUGAUGCGUAGACAUUAUGUGAGGUAUUGAAUGCAAGUAUGAUACGACAUAUUAUACGAUUAAGUAUGGAGAAUGGAAUAACGUAUACGAGCUAGCAUACGAGAAUUAUACGUAUAGUAUAAAUGUCAAGGUUCUUAAUUAAAUAGAAUGGACUUGUAGGAUUAUUAGUAUAUUGGUAGAAAUCCAAUAGGAAGUGAUAUGCAAGUCCAAGUGUUUGUUAAUCAAGAGUCCAAACUAAUGUAAUUUAAGCUCAAUAAGAAUUAACUAGAAUAAUUAAACAAGCCCAAUGGGUUAGCCAUGAUCUAUGGAGCAAACCAAGGUGAAUGUGAGUUUGACUUGAUAGGCAAGAACUUUAUGUAUUGGCCAAGUAUAAGAUAAGUGUUGUGAUGACCAAGUAUUAGAAGUGAUAAGCAAUUAGACUUGGUUGUUAAGUAAGGAAUAGUAAGGAGGUUAGUAAGGAGGUGGGAUUAAGGAGGUGGAUGGCCUAAAUGACUCUUAUACCCUCACUUAGCCAAGCCUAUAAAUAGAGAGCUCCGCAAUUCAUUUGUUGCUUGAUUAAAAUUCAUUCAACUUCUAUCAAGAUAAGUGAUUAAGUGUUAGAGAUAAUAAGUCAAGUAUAAGCUAAAACAUCCUUUUCUAGAUUUUCAAAGAGAAGAGAAGUACUAGUCUUCAAGGGUAAGACUCUAGUCUAAUAUAUCUUUUAUCCCUAUCAUUGUAGGGUGAUAAGAGAAGUGUGAUUGUAUGCUAAGAACAUAUAAGAAGUAAUUAAUGAAUGAACUUCAGCCGAAUAAGUUGUGAAUAAGCAACUAGAACCUAAAUAAGUUGAUAAACUUAUGAUGAAUUUAUUAUAUGAUUGUCAUAUGAUGUUAGUAUGUUCAAUAUGGUAUGAGAAUAUUGAGUAAAUGACUUAUGUCCAUAUUAAGUCAUAAGAAAUGAAAUUCGUAGUUUAUAAGUUGAUUAAGUUAUUAACUUAUGAGAAUAAGUUGGUAUAAUAAGUAACUUAAAAUGUUCAUAUGAUGAUUAAAAUCCAUGUAGAAUGAGAAUCAAAUCAUUAGUAAUGAGGAUUCGCCGGAAUUCACACGAUUGGACGAUAAUCGUUGAAUUCGUGAAAUUCUCGGAAUGGAAGUCAAAUUUUGUGUUUGAACUCGGAAACGUUGGUUUUCUAUGGAGACAAGUAAUAUUUGGCAUUAUAGAGUUGCGGACUCGAAAAUGACCGAAUUCUAACUUAGAAUGAAGAAACGAGCGUUGAAUGUUCAUGAACGUUUAUCGUUUUCGUUAAAAAUGAACUAAUAGGUGAAAUUUUAGCAAACCAAGUCAAAUAGAUAAAAUUCUUUCAUAAACGCAUAGAGUAUGUAAUUUGUGAACCGUAGGCUCUUGAAAGAGUGAAUUCAGACUUAUAAGAAAAAGUUAUGCGUCCGGAAGUUUCACAAAAAUUUCAAAAGUUGUAAAUUGUCUGAGGCACAAAGUUGGCGCCGCCGUGCCAACCCAAGGCCAAAAGUAUAGCAUGAACAAUAACUCAGUAAUAAUAAAUUGAGGAACUUAAUAAGGUAUUGUAAGGUAUUGUUAAACUUUAUUUAUGUUGUCUAAAGGUUGAAGAUAACUAAUCAAUCAUGAACGUAAUGAAAUAAUGUAACAAAAAGCCGGAACCAAUAAUAACAAAUCUAAGUCAGGAUUAGAUUGAGAUGAAGGGUAAGAUAUAGUAGUAUACCUACUUGUUUAUAUAUGACCUAAUGUGGUACGUUAUAUGAUCAUGUAUUGUAGAGACUUAUAGACUUAAAGUGUACGUGUGAUAAACACUAAGAAGACGCUAAAGGCAAGUAUUCUAACCCUUGUUCCAGUUCAGUCUGGACAAGGUUUGAAAUUCAUGUAUCCUUUCGCAUGAAGUUUUGUAUGAAGAAUUCAAAGCCAAUUCUUUCGGCUAGACUUGUAUUAUGAUUCUAUCAAGUAUGAUUAUUGUUUAUCGAGUUAUAUUUGUGUGGUUUUCAAACGAAGACUGAGUAUGCUAAAAUGUUUUUAUCGUUUAAUGAUAGGCACGUGAGGUUGCCACAAUUUAAACAUAUACACGUUUAAUGAAUGUAGUGUUGAUCAACAUAGAGUACUAUAGGUUAAUCACCUAGGCGUGCUCGUAAGUAAUGUUGGACUUACGGACUUAGUGACGGGACGUCCUUUUCAAAAGAACUUAUGAAAUGCUCAAGGUCUUGGACUGAAAUUGAUGUUUUACUGAAUAUUGUUGUAAAACGUUUUGAAUGAAAAGAAGUUGUAUUUUGAAUUAUCGAUAGUACUUCAUAACUAUUGUUCAGUUAUUGAAGAUAUACGAGUUCAAUGUUUCAAGCAUGUUUUUUAUUAGAAUUGUAGUACUUGCUGAGCUAUUCAUGCUCACUCUUGCUUGAACCAUAUGAACACAGCUAAGAUCGAACGGACCGAAGGCUCCGACAAGGAUAAGGGCAAGGCGAAGACGAACCCUUAGAUUACUUAUGUAAUAGUAUAGGUGUAUGUUUGUAAUAUAUUGAAUAUUAUGACAAGAACGAGUGAAAGUGUUAUAAAGAACCUGGGGAAAUGUAAUAUUUUUUUUAAUAUAUAUAAGACAUAUUCGUUCUUUUGAGACUUUUCAAUUGAAUGUAUGUGUGAAUGGUUGUACCGUAUAGCACCAUCUGUUAGGUUGGAAGAUACCUGGAUUUGGGGGCAUCACAGGUUGGUAUCAAAGCAUUAGGUUAUAAAACUUAAGGGAGAUUAAAAACCUUAAGUCAUAACCUUAAGAGGAGUCAAAGAAGUACAAGAAGAAAAUAACCUUAUAAAAAUGCAUUAUGAUUAUGUUAUGUGUUUUUAUUAUUCUACUGACGUGUACUAAUCAACUUAAUUGUUUUGUGUAGAUGUCAGGAGUAAACGGAAUGUAUGUAGAUGGAUAGGCUAUUAGUGAAGAGUCGGUGAACCAAGUAGAGGUCAUACCGAACCCCAUAGCGGUAGAGCUUGAAAUAGUGGUUAUUGAGUCUGGAGACUCGGAGGAUGCUGACCUCAUGUCAGUAUUCGAUGGUAUGAUAUAGGAGGAAGUGUCCUUUAAUCCAGUAGCUAUAGCAGCAGAGAUAGCUCCUGGGGGUUCGAUAAUGUCUCUGUUCAUGUUAGUAUUAGAUAGAAAUAUCCAUUACUGUCAGGAGGUCAAGGAGCUGAAGGCAGAGAUGCAAGCUGUCAUAGAGGAUAAGACUGAUGUUGAGUCUAUGUGGGAGCAGGAGCACGAUGAAAGGGUUUUGGCCAAGGACAAGGUCCAUGAGAUGAAAGAUGAGGUCUUUGAGCUCAAGGAGGAGCUAAAGAGCAAACUGUAGAAGAUAGGGAGAAUGUCCUAUAUUCAUAGGAGUUCUCACACAUAUUUCCAGUAGCAGGUAGCUGGAUAUCCUGUAGAGGUGGGGCAAACACGGUAUACUAUUAGCCGUGAUAUCAUUGCCGGUCUUGCCAAGGCAGAUUUCGAUAAUACCGUAAGGCAGAUGUAAGCUAGUAGUAGCUAGAGUAGAUUAAGUAUGUAAAUAUUUUGUAAUUAGUAGUGACGUAAAGCCCUCUUUUGUAAAGCGAAGGGUAGUCUUUUGGAAAUCCCAAUUUUUGGAAAGCAAUAGCGGGAAAGUAAUGUAAUCAGCUUAGGCUGUGUAAUGUAACCGAUGUAGUAUUAUACUACAAAGAAUGAAUAUAAGCCUUUUUAUGGAAAACAAUGAGUAAUGGAUGUUGAAGUUAUUGUUUAAUAUUAAAUAAUAACUAAUAAAGAAAGGAAUAAUAACGAAAUGUGUUUAUUGUAUCAGCAAAAUGCUGUCGAGAAGAGUGCAACGUAACCAAGGAGCGAAUGUGAAUCAAACUGAGGGAGGUUCGGUUAAUCCAUUGUAGGAGUUUGUUAACCUGUUAACAGCUGCCUUGAAUAGAACAGGGGCUAAUAUCCUCGUAAAUCUAGGAGUAGCACGAGCUACUACCUUUAAGGAUUUUAAGAGUGUGAGUCCGCCGGAGUUCAAAGGAACUAUGGACCCUAUCGAAGCCCAAACGUGGGUGAAGGAAAUAGAGAAGGCAUUUGUGAUAACAAAUGUUGACGAGGCCCAAAAGGUUGCCUUUGCAACCUAUAUGAUGAAGGGAGAGGCCAACUUUUGGUGGUAAGCUAAUCAGGCUAGGGUCGGGAUAGCAAAUUUGACAUAGGAGAGGUUCAAGGAGAUAUUCUUCGAGAACUACUUUCCCACGAGCAUGCAGGGAAGGAUGGAGAUGCGUUUUCUGGAGAUGAAAUAAGGGAACAUGAUGGUUCCCCAAUACGCCGCCAAGUUUAAUGAACUGGCGAGGUUCACUCCAAACCAAGUGGAUACCAAGGUUAGGAAGACGUGAUGGUUCGAGUAGGGCUUGAAACCCUGGCUCUAUAACCGUAUUUCGGUGUUCCAAAGUACUUCAUUUGGAACCAUUUUAGAGAAGAUGAUUAUCGCCUAGGGUGGUAGUGAGGCUCUGAGUCAAUACCACAAGGACAAGAAAAACAAGGGGGAGUAAAGGUUGAAGGAGCCAGCGGUAGUGGCGAGGGAUAAAAGAGGAAGGACGGAGGCCUGUAAGACCUGUGGGAAGACUCACUUAGGAGUCUGUCUCAAGGGAAAGGUCGUCUGUUACAACUGUGGACAGGAAGGGCACAUUGCGCCUAACUGUCCAAGUCCAAAGAAGAAUCAUGGAUGCUUUUUGUGUGGGUCAACUGACCACAUGGCAAAGAACUGCCCAAAGAAGGGGACGGACGGGAACUGGGGCACUAAUAGCGGUAAGUUAGCUGUUAGUGGUCCAGCGCAGCCGGGUAGGCCGAUGGGCUGUGCCUUUAACAUGACAGUCCAAGAUGCAGUUGCAUCAGGGGACGUCGUCGCAUGUAUUAUUCUGAUCAACGACAUAAAUGCUUACGUGCUGUUUGAUUCGGGUGCUACUUGUUCAUUUAUAGCAUGCGAUUUUGCUAGACGAUUAGGAUUACUUCCCAAAAAGUUGCCUAUACCUUUAAUUAUUAAGGUAGCAAACGAAGAAAUAAUUCCUGUUGAAGAUGUUCAUAGAAGUUGUUGCGUAGAUAUACGGGGUUGUAAAUUAUCGAUAGAUUUGUUACCGAUAAAAUUAGGAGAAUUCGACGUAAUUCUCUGAAUGGAUUGGUUAGUUAACCAUGGGGAAAUUAUAGAUUGUCAAAAGAAAUGUGUAAACAUUAAAACACUAAGACAACCUCAGGUUGUAUUUUACGGGAAUAGAUCGCCAGGACGUUCGUGUUGUCUAACCAUGACACAAACUAGGAAAUUACCAAGGAAGGGAUGUAUAGGUUAUCUGUGUCAUGUUGUUGAUACCCAGGGAGUUGUAACAACCAUGGAACAAAUACCUAUAGUGAGAGAAUUCGCCGAUGUAUUUUUGAGUGAAUUACCGGGUAUUCCGCCGGAUAGGGAGACAGAGUUUGUAAUAGACAUCGUACCAGGAGCGGUACCAGUUUCCAGGGCACCGUAUCGUAUGGCGCCAGUGGAGAUAAAGGAGUUGAUGGUACAAUUAUAAGGACUGUUGGAUAGGAAGUACAUUCAACCGAGUGUUUCACUGUGGGGAGCACCGGUACUGUUUGUCAAGAAGAAGGACAGAUCGUUAAGACUUUGUAUCGACUAUUAAGAGUUGAACAAGUUAACGAUAAAGAAUAAAUACCCAUUGCCCAGGAUCGAUGAUCUCUUUGAUUAGUUGAAAGGGGCUAAGUAUUUUUCUAAAAUAGCUUUAAGAACGGGGUAUCACCAGUUGAAGGUUAAGAAGGAGGAUGUACCAAAGACAGCAUUCAGGACUCGUUAUGGUCAUUACGAGUUUCUGGUGAUGUCAUUUGGGUUGACAAAUGCACCAACUGCAUUUAUGGAUAUGAUGAACAGAGUGUUCAAACAAUAUUUGGACAAGUUCAUAGUGGUGUUUAUUGAUGAUAUUCUAGUCUAUUCUAAGACGCCAGAAGAUCAUGUUGAACACCUAAGAUUAGUGUUGGAGACACUAAGAAAGGAGAAGUUGUAUACGAAAUUCACUAAAUGUGAAUUUUGGUUAGAGAAUGUACAAUUUUUAGGUCAUGUCAUUGACCAUGAGGGAAUUUCAGUAGAUCCAGCGAAUAUGGAAGCCAUGAUGAAUUGGGAACAACCGAAGACGCCGACAGAGGUGCGGAAUUUCCUAGGGUUAGCAGGUUACUAUCAGAGAUUCAUCCAGGAUUUUUCGAAGAUAGCUACUCUGUUAACUAAUUUAACAAGGAAGAUGGUGAAAUACGCUUGGACUGAUAAGUGUGAGGAUAGUUUUCAAGAACUGAAGAAGAAGUUGAGUGAAGCGCCUGUUUUGUCAUUACCUAAUGACACAUGAAAUUUUGUAGUUUAUAGCGAUGCUUCGCAUAGAGGACUUGGUUGCAUGCUCAUGCGGCAUGGCAAGGUCAUUGCGUAUGUAUCUAGGUAGUUGAAGGAUUAUGAGAAAGUUUAUCCUACUCAUGAUCUGGAACUAGCCGCAGUAGUUUUUGCUCUAAAGAUAUGGAGACAUUAUCUUUAUGGGAAAAAAUGUGAGAUAUACACGGACCACAAGAGUCUAAAAUAUAUCUUCACACAAAAGGAGUUGAACAUGAGGCAGAGGAGAUGGCUGGAGUUGAUAAAGGAUUAUGACUGUGAAAUCAUGUAUCACCUUGAAAAAGCUAAUGUAGUUGUCGACGCCUUAAGUAGGAAGGGUCGGGAAAAGUUGUCUUUGUUAACGGAUCAAACUGAGUUAAUAACAGAGAUGGCUACGAUGGAAUUGGAAGUGAAGCUGCCAAGUGAAGUAGGACAAAUGCUGUUUACGAUGGAGAUGCAAUCUACCAUCAUAGAGAGAAUUAAGAAGGUACAACUCAAAACUGAUGAGUGUGACCGGAUGAAGGAGCGGCUGACCAAUGAAAUAGAUAUUAAGUAUAGUCUUGAUAAUGAGGGAUUAUUAAGAUUUGAAGGAAGAAUUUGGGUUCCGAAUGAGACGAAAUUAAAGGAGCAAGUAUUAAAAGAGGCUCACAGUUCGAGGUUUUUGAUUCAUCCUGGGAGUACUAAGAUGUAUCAAGACCUUCAACAGAGUUUUUGGAGGCCGAACAUGAAGAGAGAUAUAGUAGAGUACGUGAGUAGGUGCUUGACUUGCCAGAAAGUCAAGGCCGAACAUCAACGACCAAGUGGAUUGUUACAGUCAUUGGAAAUUCUGGAGUGGAAGUGGGAAAAUAUCAUGAUGGAUUUUGUGGUGGGACUUCUGACUACCACGAAGGGGUAUGAUGCGAUUUGGGUAAUAGUGGACCGGUUGACAAAGUCGGCUCACUUUUUGCCAAUUAGGGUUAAGUAUAACUUAGACCAGUUAGCUAGACUCUAUAUUAAGGAAAUAAUUUCCAAACAUGGAGUACCAGUAUCGAUUGUGUCAUAUCGUGAUCCACGAUUCACAUCAAAUUUUUGGAGGAGACUACAAGAGCAGUUGGGAACCCAGUUGAAGCUAAGUACGGCGUAUCAUCCACAAACUGAUGGACAGAGCGAGAGAACAAUUCAGACGUUAGAAGAUAUGCUAAGAUCUUGCGUCAUGGAUUUCAAGGGUAGUUGGGAUGAUCAUCUACCAAUAGUGGAGUUUGCGUAUAACAAUAGUUAUCAUGCAAGCAUAUGUAUGCCGCCUUACGAAGCUUUAUUUGGGAGGAAAUGCAGAACACCAAUGUAUUGGGAUGAGGUAGGAGAACGCCGAAUGCUAGGACCAGAAUUGGUGCAGCAAACAACGGAUAUUAUCAAGAUAAUAUAAAUGUGUCUUCUAGCAGCUCAAGACAGAUAAAAGUAGUUUACAGAUUCGCAUAGAGAGAAUAGAGAAUUUGAAGUAGGUUCAUACAUAUUUCUAAAAGUAUCUCCCUGGAAGGGAAAGAUACGUUUUGAAAAGAAGGGAAAGUUAAGUUCGAGGUUUAUAGGACCUUUUGAGGUAUUAAAACGGGUGGGUGAGGUAUAGCAUUACCUCCAGACCUAGAACGAAUACAUAAUGUGUUUCAUGUAUUCGUGUUACAUCCUUAUAAGCCAGAUUAUAAACACGUUAUAGAAUAUGAGCCUAUUCAUAUCGAGAAGGACUUAACGUACAAUGAAACACCGAUUCAAAUUGUCGAUAGGAAAGAAAAAGUUCUGCGGAAUAAAGUCAUACCUUCCGUGAAGGUGAUAUGGAAGAACCACGAUGUAGAAGAAGCAACGUGGGAGUUGGAAGAAAUGAUGAAAAAGAAUUACCCUCAUUUGUUUGUGUAAUUUUUUUUAUAUAUAGCGAGAUUCUGGGGAUAGAAUCCUUAUAAGGGGGAGAGAGUGUAACACCCUAAAAAAUUGAACCUUUUGUAAAUACUUUUAAUAAUGAAUAAAAUAAUAUUAUUUAUUAUUAUUAAGUGUUGAUAAGAUGAAUGUCGUUCUAUAGCCUAGAAACGUCAGAACGUCGUAGUAUUUUAACUACGUGAAUGAAUUAAAGUGUUUGAAUUUCUAAGACGAAAAUAAAAGCUUUCCGAGAAAUUUUCUGAAAAACACUAUUCAUUGAUUUCCGCUGGGGAAUUAUUUUUUGACUUUUGAGAAAUACGUAACGUUAUAAUAUUAAGGUGAGAUUGAUUGUGUAAUAAUAAUCUAAGUAUGGAAAACGCAAUAUUUCGCAUGCAGACUUAAAGAACGUUAGGAAUAUUAAGCGUUAAGAAUAGAAAGUAUUAAUCGUAUGAUGCGUAGACAUUAUACGAGGUAUUGAAUGCAAGUAUGAUACGACAUAUUAUACGAUUAAGUAUGGAGAAUGGAAUAAUGUAUACGAGCUAGCAUACGAGAAUUAUACGUAUAGUAUAAAUGUCAAGGUUCUUAAUUAAAUAGAAUGGACUUGUAGGAUUAUUAGUAUAUUGGUAGAAAUCCAAUAGGAAGUGAUAUGCAAGCCCAAGUGUUUGUUAAUCAAGAGUCCAAACUAAUGUAAUUUAAGCUCAAUAAGAAUUAACUAGAUUAAUUAAGCAAGCCCAAUGGGUUAGCCAUGAUCCAUGGAGCAAACUAAGGUAAAUGUGAGUUAGACUUGAUGGGUAAGAACUUUAUGUAUUGGCCAAGUAUAAGAUAAGUGUUGUGAUCACCAAGUAUUAGAAGUGAUAAGAAAGUAGACUUGGUUGUUAAGUAAGGAAUAGUAAGGAGGUUAAUAAGGAGGUGGGAUUAAGGAGGUGGAGGGUCUAAAUGACUCUUAUACCCUCACUUUGCCAAGCCUAUAAAUAGAGAUCUCCACAAUUCAUUUGUUGCUUGAUUAAAAUUCAUUCAACUUCUAUCAAGAUAAGUGCUUAAGUGUUAGAGAGAAUAAGUCAAGUAUAUGCCAAAACAUCAUUUGCUAGAUUUUCAAAGAGAAGAGAAGUACUAGUCUUCAAGGGUAAGACUCUAGUCUAAUAUAUCAUUUAUCCCAAUCAAUGUAGGGUGAUAAGAGAAGUGUGAUUGUAUCCUAAGAACAUAUAAGAAGUAAUUAAUGAAUGAACUUAAGCCCAAUAAGUUGUGAAUAAGCAACUAGAACCUAAAUAAGUUGAUAAACUUAUGAUGAAUUUAUCAUAUGAUUGUCAUAUGAUGUUAGUAUGUUCAAUAUGGUAUGAGAACAUUUAGUAAAUGACUUAAGUCCAUAUUAAGUCAUAAGAAAUGAAAUUCAUAGUUUAUAAGUUGAUUAAGUCAUUAACUUAUGAGAAUAAGUCAAAACUUACUUUGAUAAUAAGUUGGUAUAAUAAGUAACUUAAAAUUUUUAUAUGAUGAUGAAAAUCCAUGUAGAAUGAGAAUCAUAUCAUUAGUAAUGAGGAUUCGCUAAAAUUCACACGAUUGGACGAUAAUCGUCGAAUUCGUGAAAUUCUUGGAAUGAAAGUCAUAUUUUGUGUUUGAACUUGGAAACGUUAGUUUUUGAUGGAGACAAGUCAUAUUUGGUUUUAUAGAGUUGUGGACUCAAAAAUGACCGAAUUCCGACUUAGAAUGAAGAAACGAGCGUUGAACGUUCACGAACGUUUAUCAUUUUCGUUAAAAAUGAACUAAUAGGUGAAAUUUUAGCAAACGAAGUUAAAUAGAUAAAAUUCUUGCAUGAAUGCAUAGAGUAUGUAAUUUGUGAACCAUAGGCUCUUAAACGAGCCAAUUCGGACUUAUAACGAAGAAGUUAUGCGUCCGAGAGUUUCACAAAAAUUUCAAAAGCUAUAAAUUUUCUGAGGCACAGAGUUGGCGCCGCGGCGCCAACCCAAGGCCAAAAGAUGGCGCCACAGUGUUUGAACCUACUGAACUUUCUUACCGCAGCGCGACAUGAAGAGAAAGGACUCGCGCCGCAGUGCCGAGUUCGGUCUGUACCCACUGUUAACUCGCGCCGCAGCGCGACUUAAGAGGAAAGGGUGGCGCCGCAACGCCAACCCUAGGGUUUGCACAGUGAUGAAGGUUUACAAGUAUAAGAUGAACAGUAACUUAGUUAUAAUAAACUGAAGAACUUAAUAAGGUAUUGUAAGGUAUUGUUAAACCUUAUUUAUGUUGUCUAACGGUUGAAGAUAAGUAAUCAAUUAUGAACGUAAUGAAACAAUGUAACGAAAAGCCGGAACCAAUAAUAACAAAUCUAAGUCAGGAUUAGAUUGAGAUGAAGGGUAAGAUAUAGUAGUAUACCUACUUUAUUAUAUAUGACCUAAUAUGGUACGUUAUAUGAUCAUGUAUUGUAGAGACUUAUAGACUUAAAGUGUACGUGUGAUAAACAGUAAGCAGACGCUAAAGGCAAGUAUUCUAACCCUUGUUCCAAUUCAGUCUGGACAAGCUUUGAAAUUCAUGUAUCCUUUCGCAUAAAGUCUUGUAUGAAGAAGUUAAAGCCAAUUCUUUCGGCUAGACUUAUAUUAUGAUUCUAUCAAGCAUGAUUAAUGUUUACCGAGUUAUAUUGGUGUGGUUUUCAAAUGAAUACUGAGUGUGCUAAAAUGUUUUUGUCGUUUAACGAUAGGCACGUGAGGUUGCCACAAUUUAAACAUGUACACGUUUAAUGAAUAUAGUGUAGAUCAACAUAGAGUACUAUAGGCUGAUCACCUAGACAUGCUCGUAAGUAAUGUCGAACUUACAGACUUAGUGUCGGGACGUCCUUUUCAAAAGAACUUAUGAAAUGCUCAAGGUCUUGGACCAAAAUUGAUGUUUUACUGAAUAUUAUUGUUGUAAAACGUUUUAAAUGAAAAGAAGUGCUAUUUUGAAUUAUCGAUAGUACUUCGUAACUAUUGUUCAGUUAUUAAAGAUAUACGAGUUCUAUGUUUCAAGCAUGUUGUUUAUUAAAAUUGUAGUACUUGCUGAGCUAUUCAUGCUCACUCUUGCUUGAACCAUAUGAACACAGCUAAGAUCGAACGGACCGAAGGCUCCGGCAAGGAUAAGGGCAAGGCGAAGACGAACCCUUAGAUUACUUAUGUAAUAGUAUAGGUGAAUGUUUGUAAUAUAUUGAAUAUUAUUACAAGAACGAGUGAAUGGGUUAUAAAGAACCUGGGGAAAUGUAAUAUUAUUUUGAAUAUAUAUAAGACAUAUUCGUUCUUUUUAGACUUUUCAAUUGAAUGUAUGUGUGAAUGGUAGUACCAUGUAGCACCAUCUGUCGAGUUGGAAGAUACCCGGAUUUGGGGGUGUCACAAUAUGUCCUCCACAAUGCCUCUCGGGUACGUGAUUGACCUAUCCGCCAACUGCAAUGAGAUGUUCGUAGGCUUUGGAGCUGGCAAACCCAAUUCUGUAUAAACUGAUAACGGCAUAAGGUUCACACUUUCCCCAAAAUCGCACAAACAUUUGUUGAACGCCAUAUUCCCAAUCGUGCACGGAAUAGUGAAACUCCCUGGAUCUUUCAACUUUGGUGGUAACUUUCGCUGUAAAAACGCACUACACUCCUCUAUUAAUGUCACUGUCUCAAAAUCUUCCAACUUCUUUUUCCUGGACAAAAUCCCUUUCAUGAAUUUUGCAUAACUUGGCAUUUGCUCCAGGGCUUCUGCAAACGGGAUAUUAAUCUGAAGUUUCUUAAAAACUUCCAAAAAUUUUGUAAACUGUUUAUCUAGCUUCUAUUUUUGAACUCUUUGCUAAAACGGUGGGGGAGGAUAGACAACUGGUUCGUUACUUGGUUUGCUCUUUUUCACUUGUUUUUCUUCCCCCUGCUUGACCUUAACCGCAGUAUUUUCACUAUCUGUCUCAACCUCCUUUGUAGCCAAAUUUUUUGUUUCUUGACCCUCAAGUUGUUUUCCAUUUCUCAACAUAAUUGCUUGACAUUGCUCGUGAUUACCCUUCGAAUUUCUUUCGGUGUCACUUGGUAGAUUUCCUUGUGGUCUAUUGUUCAAUGCUAAUGCAAUUUGUCCCAUCUAAUUCUCAAGAUUCUUGAUGGCCAUCUCUUGCGAUUUCAUUGCCAUUGCUUGAUUUUUCAUAGCCACCUCAUUGCUUGUUAUGUACUUUGUUAACAACUCCUCCAAAUCUGAUUUCCUCUCUUGAUGUUGAGCUGGUUGUUGAUGAUUCUAAAAUCCUGGGGGAUAUGAUGGUCGUGGAGCUUGCUGAUGCUGAUUGUUACUCUAUGAAAAGUUUGGAUGAUUCCUAUUCCCCUGAUUGUAAGCAUUCUUGUAUGUAUUAUGUGGAAUUCUAUUAUAGCUAUACACAAAUUGCACUGACGCUAGGUUGAUUGCGUAUUGAUCUGUAGGAUGCUGACCCGCGCAUAAUUCGCAAAUAACUACAACUUGCUAUACUUGUUCCCUUGUCAUAGCAUCCAACUUUUUUGAAAGUGUUGAAAUUUGCGCUUGUAUAGCCGUCACACCAUCUACUUCUAACACUCCAUCUGCCUUUGUCUGUGUUAAUCUUGUCGUGGGCCACUGGUAGUUGUUAGCUUCCAUAGUCUCUAUCAAUUCUGAGGUCUCCUCAUAACUUUUAGCCAUAAACGCUCCCUCUGAAGCUGCAUUAAUACUGGUUCUGAGAUUUCUAUUCAAUCCAUUGUAAAAUGUGUUCAUCUGCAUACACUUAGGCAAUCCAUGAUGCGGGUAAUUUCUAAGAAAUUCCUUGUAUGUUUCCCAUGUCUCAUACAGUGACUCCCCGUGUUACUGUUUAAACAUCGUUAUCUCAUUCCUCAUUUUUGUAGUUUUCGCUGAUGGGAAGAAUUUGGCGAGAAAUUUCUAAGCUAAGUCUUCCCAAGUAGUUAUCUAUCCCGGCGGUAGAGACUGUAACUAACUCUUCGCCUUAUCCCGUAAAGUGAAUGGGAACAAGCGGAGUCGCAUCAUCCGACACCCCAUUAUACCUGAAGGUGUCACAAAUUUCCAAAAAACUGACUAAGUGUUCUUUCGGAUCGUCAUUUGCCAAUCCCGCUUGAUUUCAAAUGUGUUUGCAGCUAUACCAGGCCUGGUGAUACUCGACUGCAACUCAGUCAACUUAGGCGUAGCAAAAUCCCUCAACGCUUUCUGAUCUUUUGCUGCCAUUACCUCUUCUUUUUCAGAGUUUUUGAAUUUUUCUCUUGUUUCCUUGUUCCAAUUACUUAACCUCUGAAACCGUCCCUCAAUGUUGUCCUCAAAAGAAAGCAAGUUUGGAUUUUUGGAACGCGUUUGCAUAAACCAAUUCAAAAACCUGAAAUAAGACGAACAAAAACAAAAAUAAAAGUGUUUAAGUAAAACUAGACUAAUUAAACUGAUAUCGUAAAAUAUAAAAAUCUAUACUAAAUUGGUCCCCGGCAACGGCGCCAAAAACUUGUUGGGUAAAAUCUAAUUACGCACAACACGCAAGUUUACGUGGUCAACAAGUAAUAUAAAAGUAAGUCAAGUAUCGUUCCCAUAGAGACAAUAAAGUAAGAAUUUAACCUCAUAAUUAUCAAUUUCCUAUUAAUCCUAAUUUUAUUAAACUAUCCAAAUCAAUGAUUAAAAUUAUAAAAACUAAAUUAUUAAUAAAUAUAAUAUCACAAACCAAUCACAAAUAUUAAAAACUGAAAUUUCAAACAAUUAUUGGAGAAUUAAGCUUACAAUUUCACCUUAAGCUCCACUUUGAUUUUUACACCUUUCCUCUAGUUCAAUUCAUUAUCCCAGUUUAUUAAUCAAGAACACGAAUGUAACACUAGCCACCUCUCGGUGCACUAAUACCGUAUAAACUUAAAUCCAUAAAUUAGAUAGAAACAAGUUAAGCACCUUAAUCAACUAACUCACUAUAUCCAUAAAUUAAGUUCUCUAUCAGAUUACAUGUGAUGUCAAGCAUAUCUCUACCUUAACAUUUAUCAAGAUUCUGCUCAUUCACAAAAUUCAAGAACACAUGCUAUAUUAACUAAGUCUAGAUUCGUACUUCCUCUCUCGAAUUCAUACAAAUCCACAAAGAAUUGUUGAUCAGGCAAUUCAUAAAUUCAAUCUCAAAUUAAUAUAGAUAAACUGGAUAAUAGUUUAUUAAACUAGAAAUUAAGGCUAUAUAAUCAUUGUUUCACUUAAGGAUCCAUCAUAAACCUAAAAAGUAAAUUAGUUCAUAAUAAAUGACUUAAAUACUGAAUAACUCAAAUAAAACAUUAUCCCAAUUACACAAAUUGAAAUUAAAGGAGAAUAGUAAUAUACCACCCUUCUUGUCCUUCAAUUUUGCAAUCUUUGUUAAAAUCGUCCCUUCUUCAUUUCUCCAAGUUCUUGUUCUUUAAUCUUGUUCUCAAAAAGAUGUGUCUUAGUUCACAUUCUGAUUUUUUUCUUUUACACAUAGCAUAAAUUUUCCUCACUUCAGCUCCACACCACCAAUCAUAAUCCAACUCUAACUCAUUACCAAGAGAAUCUAAAAGAAGUUCAAAUCAUUUUCAAAACCAACAAGUCAUUAAUCAAAGACUCCCAAGAGCAUGAAAUAACAACCAUAACACAACCCUCUUAUAAACGUAUUAUAUAAAGAAUUUAAAGCUCCCAACAUAGCCCAUUUUCCAUCACAUAAGAAAUCCUGCCCAGCUCAAGUCCCGUAGUAGCGCUCUCCGCGCUAUGUAUUACUCUUUCACAGCAUGGCCCGUGCUACCCAAUCAGUGACCAGCCAUGCACUAGCGCGCCAUGCACUAUGUUACUUAGCACCACAGCGCGCCCCGUGCUAGGAAGUCAGAAAGUCCAAAAAUUGCUUGAAAAAUCCUUCAAAUGCUAACAUCUUGAUAAGCUCACUGAUUAUCCUACAACAAGCACAAAACCCAUCAAGAGUAACAUGAAAAUAACCAAAAACGAACAAUAUAACAAGCUAAACGAAUAUAAAUCAUAGGGUAAAACAUACUCAUUAGUCUUCCACAAGCAACAGUGAGAAGACUUCAGAUAAUGUGACUGAUAAAAGAAAGUCAGCAAUGCAGUAGCUAUCAAGAUAAACAAAAGAUAACGAUCUUGGGUAUAACCAUGACCGUAGUGCUAGCCAGAUUAGAAGUAGGAACUGAUGAGGUCUAUAAUAGAGAUACUAGCCAACCUAUACAGAAUAGACAAAGAAGACUAAGCAUGGGUCAGACCAUUGAUGAUAUGUGAACGGGAGAUCAUAAGGAGAAAAAGAGCUGAGCAUGACCAAUCCGAUGAGUCUUGAAGUUAAGGAGGGCCAGAGCAUUCAAACAAGUUGUUAGUGUCUAAUGUAAGUCAAGGCAAACAAAAGUCUUGAAGCACUACAAGAGUAAAGGAAGAGAGGUUCUGCAUUGCAAAUCUAGAGAACACUCUCCGAAUCGUAAAGUUUGAUCAUCUGCAUCAGAAUCGUAGAGUUUGGUCAUUUGAGUAUUGAAGCCUUGGCAAUGUCUCAAUGCAAUGACUAACAUUCGAACGUUGGGUAUUGAAAGCAUUGAUGCAGAAGGACAACUCUUGAUGUUCUGAUCGAGGAAUAAGAAAGAAGAAAUAAAGGUGACUACUAGCCUGACACACUAAAGUGACAUUUUUGAUGGGGUGGGUGAAAUAGUAGACUACAAUGUCAGAAAAGUGAAAUAGGGGCUGUCAUGUCACAUCCGCAAUCAAUAGGGAGAAAUUCUUAUCGGAAAGCCCCCUCUCUCUUAGGAAUGAUCUGGUUGUUAAUAUUGCAAGCUAUAUUAUUGAUGAAUAAAUGUUGUUGAGGAUUUUUAUGAAGUAUUUGUUGUAAGUUUGACGUAUUAUUUGGACCCCCCACUUACUCAUUUUUUAAAAUCAUCAGGAGAAGUUAUCUCAGUUUUGUUUUACACACACACACAUAUAUAUAUAUAUGUUAUAUUACGAUAAAGUAAGGAGGGGGGACUAAUGAAGCACGGGGGAGUACUAUUGUUAUAAUAUAUAUAUAUAUAUAUAUAUAUAUAUAUUAUACAUAGUAUUUGCAUAGUAAAAUCAGAAAAUUUUUGCAAAUUUCCCGUGACCUUUACUGUGCAGUUCGUGAUUUUUCCUUACUGUUCAUCCAAAUAGUAUCUUGUCAUUCUCCUAUAAAUAGGAUGCUUAGUUUUGAAUAAAAAAUCACAUCAGAAUCAAAUAAUUCUUCUUCUAUAAUAUUGAGCAUAUUUCUUUAGAGUUUAAGGAAGCUUUUAGCGUAGAAAAUAGUAUAAGUUUUCUUCAAGAAUAUCCCCGCCCUACCAGUCAGAAGUACUCUCUUUUUAAAGUAAGGGAUAUUAUUUUUGUUCAAUAUUCGUAAGAAAUAAUAUUUUCUUCCAUACUAUAUAGUAUAUAAGUAAUAUUAUUUCAUUUUAGAUUCUGAAUUCUACACUCAUUUUGUUAAGUUUUGGAUUCUAUACUCCGUGAAAUUAAUAGAAUAUCCUUGAAAUUUGCGCUUCAUCUAGUAUAUUUUCAUGAAAAUAUUAUUCUAAGCAUUUUUGAAAAUUUUUAAUCUUUUCAUGUCAGGGUACUAUUCAUGGGGUACUAUUCACUCGUGCAAAUCAUUUUUGAUACAAUAUUAUUCUUGAAUUUUANNNNNNNNNNNNNNNNNNNNNNNNNNNNNNNNNNNNNNNNNNNNNNNNNNNNNNNNNNNNNNNNNNNNNNNNNNNNNNNNNNNNNNNNNNNNNNNNNNNNNNNNNNNNNNNNNNNNNNNNNNNNNNNNNNNNNNNNNNNNNNNNNNNNNNNNNNNNNNNNNNNNNNNNNNNNNNNNNNNNNNNNNNNNNNNNNNNNNNNNNNNNNNNNNNNNNNNNNNNNNNNNNNNNNNNNNNNNNNNNNNNNNNNNNNNNNNNNNNNNNNNNNNNNNNNNNNNNNNNNNNNNNNNNNNNNNNNNNNNNNNNNNNNNNNNNNNNNNNNNNNNNNNNNNNNNNNNNNNNNNNNNNNNNNNNNNNNNNNNNNNNNNNNNNNNNNNNNNNNNNNNNNNNNNNNNNNNNNNNNNNNNNNNNNNNNNNNNNNNNNNNNNNNNNNNNNNNNNNNNNNNNNNNNNNNNNNNNNNNNNNNNNNNNNNNNNNNNNNNNNNNNNNNNNNNNNNNNNNNNNNNNNNNNNNNNNNNNNNNNNNNNNNNNNNNNNNNNNNNNNNNNNNNNNNNNNNNNNNNNNNNNNNNNNNNNNNNNNNNNNNNNNNNNNNNNNNNNNNNNNNNNNNNNNNNNNNNNNNNNNNNNNNNNNNNNNNNNNNNNNNNNNNNNNNNNNNNNNNNNNNNNNNNNNNNNNNNNNNNNNNNNNNNNNNNNNNNNNNNNNNNNNNNNNNNNNNNNNNNNNNNNNNNNNNNNNNNNNNNNNNNNNNNNNNNNNNNNNNNNNNNNNNNNNNNNNNNNNNNNNNNNNNNNNNNNNNNNNNNNNNNNNNNNNNNNNNNNNNNNNNNNNNNNNNNNNNNNNNNNNNNNNNNNNNNNNNNNNNNNNNNNNNNNNNNNNNCUAAGCCCACUUGUGGGAGAUUAGUAAAUUGUAUUAAGUUAAGAGAUAUAUUUUUAUUAUCUCAGGUUAUUAAUUUUAUAACUUAAUUAAAAUAAGCUUAAUUGGGUUAUAGAAUUUAUUGUAGUAGAGUGAUGAUUUAAAUUCUAAUUAUUUAGAAUGAUACCCUAAUUAAAUAUUUAGGGUGAGUAAAGAUAGAAAGAAUUGGUCUAUGUAUAUAUAUUAAUGGCCCAAAGGAUUAAGUGAGAAAGUCCAAAAGAUUUAUUAAUGACCCAACUUUAAAAUUAAUGAAGGAGGGGCAUGUUUGGGAUAAAGAAAAGGAAGCUAGCAUGUGGGAAAUGAAGAUGUUAAAGGCCACUUGGCCGAAUUUUAUAAAAAAAAGAAAAGAAAGAUAAGGCUUAGAAAUAAGAAGAGAUAAGAAAAGAAAAGAAAGAGAAGAGAAAGAGAGAUCGGGAGAAGAAAACGUGGGGAAGAGAGAGGGAGUAGAGAGAUCGGCAGCCCCCUUGAGGGAGAAAGAAGGAGGAGAAAUCACCAUGAAGAAGAAGAUGAAGAAGAAGGUAUAUUAUUACUUUCCUAAGCUUUCCUCUAAUUAUUUCUUUUGUAAUUUUAUGGAAGUGGGUUUUGAUUUGGGUGUAUAAAACCCUAUAAUCUAUGUG
rnacentral:lncRNA from 1 species